rnacentral:rRNA from 1 species
GAUGAACGCUGGCGGCGUGCUUAACACAUGCAAGUCGAGCGAAGCGCCUUAUACAGAUUCCUUCGGGAUGAAGGAUUUGGCGACUGAGCGGCGGACGGGUGAGUAACGCGUGGGCAACCUGCCUCACACAGGGGGAUAACAGCUAGAAAUGGCUGCUAAUACCGCAUAAGGCCGCGGCACCGCAUGGUGCGGCGGCAGAAGCUCCGGCGGUGUGAGAUGGGCCCGCGUCUGAUUAGGUAGUUGGUGCGGUAACGGCGCACCAAGCCGACGAUCAGUAGCCGACCUGAGAGGGUGACCGGCCACAUUGGACUGAGACACGGCCCAAACUCCUACGGGAGGCAGCAGUGGGGAAUAUUGCACAAUGGGGGAAACCCUGAUGCAGCGACGCCGCGUGAAGGAUGAAGUAUUUCGGUAUGUAAACUUCUAUCAGCAGGGAAGAAGAUGACGGUACCUGACUAAGAAGCCCCGGCUAACUACGUGCCAGCAGCCGCGGUAAUACGUAGGGGGCAAGCGUUAUCCGGAUUUACUGGGUGUAAAGGGAGCGUAGACGGCAGGGCAAGUCUGGAGUGAAAGCCCGGGGCUCAACCCCGGGACUGCUUUGGAAACUGCCAUGCUAGAGUGUCGGAGAGGCAAGUGGAAUUCCUAGUGUAGCGGUGAAAUGCGUAGAUAUUAGGAGGAACACCAGUGGCGAAGGCGGCUUGCUGGACGAUGACUGACGUUGAGGCUCGAAAGCGUGGGGAGCAAACAGGAUUAGAUACCCUGGUAGUCCACGCCGUAAACGAUGAAAAUGAGGUGUCGGGAAGCAAAGCUUCUCGGUGCCGCAGCCAACGCAAUA